rnacentral:rRNA from 1 species
UUCGCAAUGCCCGAAAGGGUGACGAAGCGACGCCGCGUGUGGGAAGAAGGCCUUCGGGUUGUAAACCACUGUCGGGAGUUAAGAAAUGCAAGGGUGUUAAUAGCGCCCUUGCUUGACUAAAGCUCCGGAGGAAGCCACGGCUAACUCUGUGCCAGCAGCCGCGGUAAUACAGAGGCGGCAAGCGUUGUUCGGAAUUAUUGGGCGUAAAGAGCACGUAGGCGGCCUUGUAAGUCAGUUGUGAAAGCCUUCUGCUCAACGGAAGAACAGCAUCUGAUACUGCAAGGCUAGAGUGCGGAAGGGGAGAGUGGAACUUCUGGUGGAGCGGUGAAAUGCGUAGAUAUCAGAAGGAACACCGGCGGCGAAGGCGACUCUCUGGUCCAUAACUGACGCUGAGUGUGCGAAAGCUAGGGGAGCAAACGGGAUUAGAUACCCCGGUAGUCCUAGCCGUAAACGAUGGGCACUAAGUAGAGGGGUUUU